AUUGAACGCUGGCGGCAUGCCUAACACAUGCAAGUCGAACGGCAGCACGGCAGUAGCAAUACUGUGGGUGGCGAGUGGCGGACGGGUGAGGAAUACGUCGGAAUCUGCCCAAUCGUGGGGGAUAACUAACCGAAAGGUUAGCUAAUACCGCAUACGACCGAGAGGUGAAAGCGGGGGGACCGCAAGGCCUCGCGCGAUUGGAUGAGCCGACGUCGGAUUAGCUUGUUGGUGGGGUAAAGGCCUACCAAGGCAACGAUCCGUAGCUGGUCUGAGAGGAUGAUCAGCCACACUGGAACUGAGACACGGUCCAGACUCCUACGGGAGGCAGCAGUGGGGAAUUUUGGACAAUGGGCGCAAGCCUGAUCCAGCCAUGCCGCGUGAGUGAAGAAGGCCUCGGUU
rnacentral:rRNA from 1 species